GGUUAAGCGACUAAGCGUACACGGUGGAUGCCCUGGCAGUCAGAGGCGAUGAAGGACGUGCUAAUCUGCGAAAAGCGUCGGUAAGGUGAUAUGAACCGUUAUAACCGGCGAUGUCCGAAUGGGGAAACCCAGUGUGAUUCGUCACACUAUCGUUAACUGAAUACAUAGGUUAACGAGGCGAACCGGGGGAACUGAAACAUCUAAGUACCCCGAGGAAAAGAAAUCAACCGAGAUUCCCCCAGUAGCGGCGAGCGAACGGGGAGCAGCCCAGAGUCUGAAUCAGCUUGUGUGUUAGUGGAACGGUCUGGAAAGUCCGACGGUACAGGGUGAUAGUCCCGUACACCAAAAUGCACAGGCUGUGAACUCGAAGAGUAGGGCGGGACACGUGGUAUCCUGUCUGAAUAUGGGGGGACCAUCCUCCAAGGCUAAAUACUCCUGACUGACCGAUAGUGAACCAGUACCGUGAGGGAAAGGCGAAAAGAAC
rnacentral:rRNA from 2 species